rnacentral:snRNA from 1 species
GUGCUCGCUUCGGAAGCACACAUACUAAAAUUGGAAUUGUACAGAGACGAUUAGCAUGGAUGACACGCAAAUUCAUGAAAUGUUCCAUAUUUUU